rnacentral:pre_miRNA from 1 species
GGUCUGUGUGUGGAUGGUGUUCAGCACCAAGGAUAGGUGUGUUUGUCUGUGUGAAUGGUGUCUAACAACAAGUCCUGGUGUGUUUGUGCAUCUAAUGCCAAGUACUGGUGUGGUGGCCUGUGUGUGGAUGGUGUUCAGCACCAAGAACAGGUGUGUUUGUGU